rnacentral:tRNA from 1 species
GUGGUUGUAGCUCAGCUGGUUAGAGUGCCUGAUUGUGGUUCAGGAGGUCGCCGGUUCGAACCCGGUCUUCCACCCCU